UUUGAUUUGUAGAAUCUGGAGCUUGUUCUGAUUUCUUUAUUUGUGCGAUAGUGUCUUUUUGUUGGGUAUUUUUUGCAAAUAAUUUCUUUGAGUACUUUGAAUAGUUCCCUUAAUAUUUUCACCACGUGAUUCAGUGGCUGCCCCAGCAUCUAACAUUAAGACUGCUAUCUGUGGACUGAGGACCUGAGCACUUUUGUGAAGGAGACCCUGCAGCUCCAUGUGAAUGCUGGAAAAUGGCCUCUGUUGAAGAUCUCUGUGAAGGAGAGAGGGAAAGCAGAACGUGUUCUACAGGUCCUCAGCUGAAAAGAGUUCUUGUGUGAAUUCAAAGCAAAUGAAUGCAUCACAACUCUAAUUAGCAUCGCACAGUGGAGGGAAUAAGGGCCCGUUUUUAUGGUUGCCUGUUCUUCUUCAAAGUGGCUUUCAUAAUGGGCUUUAUUAGCCAUUGUGCGGAUACAUGGGGCCUCCGUCAGCCGUGGACACGUUUGGCUUUAAUAAAAAUUGAUCGGCGCGGCGUAAGGGGCUUCGCUCAGACCAGACGGGUUUAUUGAGUGAGAGAGGGGCCUCUCUCUGGUCAAUGCCCCCAACUUCUCUCUUCACCUUCUGGCCGUCUCCUCUGAUGGUUCACCAUGACAACGCUUAAAAGGAGGGAGAAUAAAGGGAAAGAAGAAAGGGCGCGCGCGGCGUCAACAGAAACGCCGAGGGUUCUGCCGGGAUUCGGCCGAAAACGAUUACUCCACGGGAGCGGCACGAAAUAAAGGAAGGGGCGCUUCUUAAAGGAACACUGUAAACGUUGUUUAAGGAUCAUACAGUAAUAUUAUAAAAAUAAGACUUACAAAGUGACACUGAAAGGAAUAGGAUUAAAUCUUAUGCCAGCACUUUUUUUAAUAGAGAAAUAAUGUUGGCUUGUUACAGAAGUUUAAAAUGAAUGGAAAAUACAUUGCUUAAAUUGCCUGGAUGCAGAAGCUUUUCAUUUUUUCAUGAAGUGUAUACUGCAUAAGUAAAUAUUAGUUAUUACCUGUUUGUGAGAACACGCUCACACCCACC